AAACCUGGGAAGAGAUGCUCAGAGAGCGUCUGGGGUGAGAGAAAACGCUUUGCGGUCGUGCCCUGAGAAGUGUCACUAAUGAAGCGUGUGGCCCAGUGGCCCUCUUUGGAGUUCUCCGAGCUCUUUUCCAGUUUUCUGCCUCUUUUUAGGAAAUAUGCUAAAAACCUGGAUGCACGGAGCAGACAGGGACCGCCUUUGCUACCACAAGGUGACUCGUUUGAAAUCGAACUAACUGGAAGACGAGGACCAAAGCUUGAUGAUAUGGCUUAUGCCUGCCCCUUACCCCUCAGUUAAGUGGACCAAUAAACUCGUUUGUCCUUAA